rnacentral:rRNA from 1 species
GAUGAACGCUGGCGGCGUGCUUAACACAUGCAAGUCGAACGAUGAAGCCCAGCUUGCUGGGUGGAUUAGUGGUGAACGGGUGAGUAACACGUGAGUAACCUGCCCUUAACUCUGGGAUAAGCCUGGGAAACUGGGUCUAAUACCGGAUAGGAGCGUCCACCGCAUGGUGGGUGUUGGAAAGAUUUAUCGGUUUUGGAUGGACUCGCGGCCUAUCAGCUUGUUGGUGAGGUAAUGGCUCACCAAGGCGACGACGGGUAGCCGGCCUGAGAGGGUGACCGGCCACACUGGGACUGAGACACGGCCCAGACUCCUACGGGAGGCAGCAGUGGGGAAUAUUGCACAAUGGGCGCAAGCCUGAUGCAGCGACGCCGCGUGAGGGAUGACGGCCUUCGGGUUGUAAACCUCUUUCAGUAGGGAAGAAGCGAAAGUGACGGUACCUGCAGAAGAAGCACCGGCUAACUACGUG